rnacentral:lncRNA from 1 species
CACUAGCAGUGAAUAGAGGUUCUCUUUGUGAGGGUACUUUCCAACUAAUUCUUUUCAGUUUUAGUCUAUGCAGGAGCGUACCACAGAGCACAUCACUGGAAAAAUCUCUCUACAAAAGUGUAAUCGGUGUAAACCAGUGUGCAGCAUAUUAAUGGGAUACCUACAGCGGCUUCUAACAAGUGGUGCAGACCUAAGGUGCAGAAUGAAGAUGGUCUUCACUGCUGACUCUGCUCCAACUUAAUGCAAAGCCCAUUGGCACUACUGUAGGUAAGAAGUCAUGAUUGUUCCACUCUAAUCUGACCUUGUAAGGCCCUGUCUGGAGUAUUGCAUCUGAGUCUGGGGCCCCCAACACAGG